GUGGGGAAUAUUGGACAAUGGGCGCAAGCCUGAUCCAGCCAUGCCGCGUGAGUGAUGAAGGCCUUAGGGUUGUAAAGCUCUUUCAGUGGGGACGAUAAUGACGGUACCCACAGAAGAAGCCCCGGCUAACUUCGUGCCAGCAGCCGCGGUAAUACGAAGGGGGCUAGCGUUGUUCGGAUUUACUGGGCGUAAAGCACACGUAGGCGGAUCGUUAAGUCGGGGGUGAAAUCCUGGAGCUCAACUCCAGAACUGCCUUCGAUACUGGCGAUCUUGAGUCCGGAAGAGGUGAGUGGAACUCCUAGUGUAGAGGUGGAAUUCGUAGAUAUUAGGAAGAACACCAGUGGCGAAGGCGGCUCACUGGUCCGGUACUGACGCUGAGGUGCGAAAGCGUGGGGAGCAAACAGGAUUAGAAACCCGUGUAGUCC
rnacentral:rRNA from 1 species